UUGACCUGUAUGUAGUUGUUGACAUGGUUAGUCACCCUUUUCUCCUUGAUAUUCUCUUUUCUCUAGGUUUCUGUGACACUACUGUCUCCUGGUUCUCCCUCUACCUGACUUCAUAAUCUUUAAUCAGGAAAGAAGGCUUUCCAGGAUCAGAAAAUAGGGAGCUAGGAGUUAGUGGAUCCCUGGAUUGGUUACUUCUACCAGUAUUGGAUUUUCCUGUGGAGUCCACUGUCUUGUUGCUUUGAAAGUGAGAAGCUUGAACUUGUCAUCAAGAAAGAAGGGCCUUACGACUCCUACGUCCAAUCAGGGACAUUUUUGCAGGGCUCUGGAUACUCUGGACAGAUGUCUUCUCUUUCCUAGUAAGAAACUCAAAAUGUACUUGUCCAAUGACAGUAAGUAUUGAAUUGAUUCUGAAACAAAUACAAAGAAGUGUUAGCCAUGAGUUCCUGCCCUUGAGUAG
rnacentral:lncRNA from 1 species